rnacentral:lncRNA from 1 species
UGCUUUUUAAAUACAUGGUGAUCAACUGGACUCAAGAGGAAAGUUGUCAGAUGAGUGCAAAAAGGGUGGACUGAGUUAUUGAAGACCGUUAUACCUAUGUAGCUACAGACGCAGGCAGUGCUCAGUGCAGAGGAGCCCCCAGGGGAGCAGCUCAAGCCUGCGCUCACCAGAGCGCCAGAGAGGAGGAAAGAUGAAGGUUUGUAAGGCUGUCCCGGCCUAACCCUUCCCAGAGCAUUUUUUCAGACUUGUACAGUAAAUUGAAGGCGUUUUAAACUCUUUCCAGUACUAACAUUCUCAGUAGAGAUUGUUGAAUUAAAGAGCAGUAAGCAUUUUUAGCACUGUACUCCACUAGUUCGAAAACCUUUUUACUUUUUGAUUAAACUUUGCUUUCUCAAAAGAAAUGGAAUCAUUCCUGAGGGGGACUCCCUCAGAAGGAGCACUCACUCAGAAGCUGACUGAGUGCUCCUCCUGCCUCCAUGUGUGCACCUGAGGGGGACCGCUGAGUGAGUGUUCCUCCUGCCUCCAUGUGUGCGCCUGCACAUACAUUUCUUUUCUUUUCUCUUCUUCUUCUUUUUGUUGUUUUUGUUUUUGUUUUUGUUUUGAGACAGUGUUUCUCUGCAUAGCCCUGACUGUAGACCAGGAUGCCUCGAACUCAGAAAUCCGCCUGCCUCUGUUUUCCAAGUGCUGGGAUUAAAGGCAUGCACCACCACUGCCGGGCUGCACACACAUUUCAAAAAGAAGAAAUACAUUAUGUUAUUUGCAGGGGAAAGAUGUAAUGAGGAGCUUAUCACAUAUAUGGUAAAAUAGUUCAGAAUCAUAGAGACAAGAAUCAUCUAUUCUCUUUUAUAUACAGAAUUUAGAAGGGAAAGGGGGAAAAAAGACAUGAAAAUAAAUGGAAGCCAAGCAUGGUUGUUGUAAUUCCAGCACUGGGACAGCUGGGACAAGAAAAUUGUUGCAGGUUCAAAGCCAGCCUGGCCUAUGUUGCUAAUACUAGGCCAGCCAAAUGGUACAAAGCAAGACCCUAGUGGCUUGUUUUAAAAUGUCAUAAUGAAAUCCAUUGCUUUGUAGUAGUUGUUAAAUUUUUUGCUGUUGUCAGUCUCAUUGUUUAGCCCUAGCUGACCUGGAACUUGCUCACAUAGGCUACGCCAGCCUUGAGAUCACUGACACCCUCCUGCCUCUGUCUCUUUUCCAUGACUGUCUAAAUGCUAAUUGUUAAAAGUUUCUUUACUGUUGCUGAAUGAUGGUGUAUUAGUGUCUAUUUCUAUUCUGCUGUCCUUCCUGCUGGGGCCUACUAUUUCAGACCUCCAGCAUUUCUUUCCGGGAUGAUAGCCAUGGUAUCCCCACCAGUCUUGUCUUUGUGUCCUCAGAUUCCAAUUGGAAACUGGAAUGAUCCUGCAGGAAUAUAGAUGAGACCACAGCCCUCCUGGCUCAACCCUUCCCAGAUCUCAGAGUGCUUAGAGUAGAAGCAAGGGUCUUUAAGGCAGCCUGACGUUCCUCUAAUGUCCAGGAGUAGUUAGGCCAGUGGGAGGAGAAGGGAAAGGGUGUGCACAAGUGAUUUCAGAAAUGAUCAUGGCAAGAGAGAGAACUCCAAACACAUCUGAGAACACAGGCUGCUUUCUGACCAGAUUGCCCAUUCCUGUCUCUGGGUCUCAGAUUCUCUCGAGUGUAGCAGAGAAGUCUCCAUGAACUUACAGCUCCUCCCUCUCAGGACAGGCUAGCUAGCAUUCCCUUCCCUGGCUCCUUCCUUUUCUCUAUACUUCCCAAGGCUUCCUUGCAGGCUUUUGGAUGCAGCCAUGUCCCUGGAACUGCUCUCAGUAGGCUGAGUGGAGGGGACUUGAACUCCAGGGUCCCAGUCUUACAUAGUAGGGUGCUCCUACCUCACCCUCCCUUACCACCCUGAAAAGCUGAUACAGAAGUGGGAGGACAUGAGUCACAGCACCUCAGCUUGCAGACUAGUGGCUUCUUUUUUGGUCACUUCUCCAUCUCACUUUCACCUUUGUUGCUCCCCACCACCAUCCAAGCAGAGAGCUUCUCCUGUCUCAGUCAGAAACGGGAAGUUAGACUUGCAAAGGCUCAUAUAGUCAUGAGGCCUGUACCAAGGAUGGAGUAGUAGGGCUUCAUCACGCUGCACUCAUUAUGCCUUCCUCAGUGCCAUAUCAGUCUUAGCUUAUGGGAAAAAUAUGCACAGAGACAUUUUAAGUGCACAUCCAAACUCUUAUACAUUUUCAUUUUGUAUAAGCUUGACUCUCAAAUGCAUGUCUCGUAAAAUUUUUGAUUAUUAUAUCCUAUUUCAACCUAUGUUACAUUUUAAAUUUGAGACAGGUUUUUACAAAAAAGCAGCUGAGUGCUAUAAAUGUGUCGAUUAAAUUUUAGACUGUUGCAGGUCUUCAUAGAAACCACAGAUUUAACUUGUAAAUUGGUGAGUUAACUAUCCCACCCAAUAUGGACAUAGCUUGGCAGUAAAAAUAAGUGCUUUCUUUUACAAUCUAGUGGUAGAUGACUCCCAUAAAGAAAAUGUUUAUUUCCUGAAAAACAAAAACAAACAACAAAACCCAACGGUAAUAGUUGAAUAAUGGAUAGGGGCGAUAAUUGAAUAAUAUGAAUUAUUAUUUUCUUUAGGUUGGGAAACUGAGGCAGGAAAACUGCAAAUUCUAGGUCUGUUUGUGCUAUAGAGUGAGUUCAAGGUCAGCCUAGGAAAUUUAGCAAGACCUUAUCUGAAAAUUAGAAAUUAAAAUUUAAAAAGGGGGUAUAGUUUAAUGGGUUCUCAGCACCACAGAAACAACGGAAAACUGUUGUAAGUCCUGUAAAGUAAUUUUUAUUAUCCUAAUUUCUGUUUUCUAAGUGAUUAAAUAUAUAUAAAAGGACAAUUUUUCCCCCUAGGGCAUUUUGAGACAGGUGAUCUUGUUUUAAAGCAAGGAUUGUCUUUACAUUGUCAGAGCAGUUGCAGAGUUGAUAUCUCAGGUGGUCUUUUUAGAUGUGUUUCCCUGGCUGCUUCCUACAGUUACCAUAAGAAUAGAAGGUCUGGGGGGUGGGUGGGUAUGGGGGACUUUUGGUAUAGCAUUGGAAAUGUAAAUGAGCUAAAUACCUAAUAAAAAAUG